ACCUUCAGCCAGCAGUCAAGUACAAACGACUCAACUUGUGCAGGAUUCCCACAGGCACAGGACAAAGGCAGCAGUGAACACAAACCAGACCAACAGUGCCUAAAGUUUUGACAGAGUUCUGGCAAAUACUACUGGAAUUGACUUUAGUCUUCAAACAGCAUUUCAGAACUGGGACUUUGUUACCACAAAGAUAUAUAAUGGAAUUUCUCAGCUGGUAAAUAGAGCACCCCUCCAAACUGAGACCAGCAGCAAAGGGCAUCCAUUACAGCACGUACCUGAAGGCUUGCUGCUCUGCUCCAGAUUCUCGUGGAAGUCUUCAGCCUGCUGAGGGUGCUGUUCAUCGCAGGGAGA